UACAGAGGUCUCAAGCGUUGUUCGGAUUCAUUGGGCGUAAAGGGUGCGUAGGUGGCGCUGUAAGUCAGGUGUGAAAUUUCGGAGCUUAACUCCGAAACUGCAUUUGAUACUGCGGUGCUUGAGGACUGGAGAGGAGACUGGAAUUUACGGUGUAGCAGUGAAAUGCGUAGAGAUCGUAAGGAAGACCAGUGGCGAAGGCGGG
rnacentral:rRNA from 1 species